UUGGAUGUGGUGUACGGUGCAUGUCGGCUUCUCAUGGAAUAUUGAUUCCCUGCGCCUUUAUAAAUUCAAGCUGAAGGCCGGGUUCGACUCCCCGCAUCCGAA